GCGGGGCACGCGAUCUGGUGGUCGCGCCUGCCCGACGAGCAGGUCAUGGCGAGUUCGAUCCUCGCGCCCCGCA
rnacentral:tRNA from 1 species